rnacentral:rRNA from 1 species
CUACCCCUACGGGGCGCAGCAGUGAGGAAUAUUGGUCAAUGGGCGCGAGCCUGAACCAGCCAAGUCGCGUGAGGGAUGACGGUCCUACGGGUUGUAAACCUCUUUUGUCAGGGAGCAAGAACGGAUACGUGUAUCCGAGCGAGAGUACCUGAAGAAAAAGCAUCGGCUAACUCCGUGCCAGCAGCCGCGGUAAUACGGAGGAUGCGAGCGUUAUCCGGAUUUAUUGGGUUUAAAGGGUGCGUAGGCGGACUGCCAAGUCAGCGGUAAAAUUGCGGGGCUCAACCCCGUCGAGCCGUUGAAACUGG